rnacentral:rRNA from 1 species
AUGGUAGCACACAAGUUUAUUGUUGACAACGAAGAUAGGAUGCUCUUGUAUAAACUUAGAUUCAAUAAGAAACACUUUGAGAUUAUUAUUUUGCCUGCUCCUUUGUUGUUUGAUUUGCUUGAAGAAAAUUUUCUCGUCACACCGGAAGCGGUGAACAAUCAUCGAGCUCAAGCUUUUACUCCAGAACCUGAACCUGAGCUGGCACCUGAACUGGACCCUUAUCGUGCAUCAUCUGUCCAGUGGGAUCCGGAGAUGACCAGCCAGUGGUAUCCUGAUUACACCUCUCAUUACACCGGGGAGAGUAGCCGCGAUCCGUGGCAUUAA